rnacentral:lncRNA from 1 species
GGUAGGCAAGUGCUCUGCCACUGAGCUACAGCCCCAGCCCUUUUUUAUAUUUUAUUUUGAGCAGGAUCUAACUAAAUUGCUAAGUGCCUCACUAGUCUGCUGAGACUGGCUUUCAACUCAUGAUUCUCCUGCCUCAGCCUCCCGAGUUGCUGGGACAGUAGGCAUGCCCUGCCACAUCUGGCAAGUUUUUUGUUUUUUGGUUGUAUUUUUGGUUGUUUUUGUUUAUUCUAGAGAGGCAAAUAUUUCCUGAACUCUCUGGGAUGCACUUUCCUUUCUGAUGCAUUUGGUCAGUUGGAAGAAACUUCCCUGGGACCUUGAUUGAUUGAUUGACUGAUUUCAGUGUUAGAAAUUGAAUCCAGAGCUUCUCACAUGCUAGACAAAUACUCUACCACUGAGCUACAUCUCUAGCCCAACUGCCAUUUUUGACACUGUAUAAUGUUUAAAAUUGCAUUUCAAAUAUGUGCUGCAUGACAAAAAGAGUACCACUGUUUUGCCACCUGGAAUCUCGUCUAUUUAGCACUGUUGUAGCUGAUGUCAAGCUCUGGUGGUACUUUAGGGAAGGCAGUUUCUGACUUCUUUGUUCAAUAUUCACAUUCAUACAGUUUAAUUACUUUUCAAGGCUCAAACUACAAAUGUGUAGAAAUGUGUGCAGCUAUUUUUCUGUAACUAAAUAAUCUCAAUAUUUGUAUUUAUAGUCCCUGUUCGCCUAAUGGCAGAAUUCUUAGUCUGCUAAAUUCCAGGCAAACGUAAUCCUUUCUUGGUUUCAUAGUUUUUCUUGAUAAAUCCUAACCUUAGUCAAAUUAAUUUUUAUGGUGCUGGGGAUCAAACUACAUAAAUUAUUUUUUAAAACAACAUUUUUAUCCCUUUAUUUAUAUGCAGGAUCGAACCCAGUGCCUCACACAUGUGCUCUGCCACUGAGCUAUAACUGUAGCCUCAAACUACAUCAGUGCUUGAUCUCCACCUUCUCUUCUUGUUUACCCAUCUUGUUAUCCAUGGACUGACACAGCAUUUUGGUGUCCUAUGGUCAGAGCCUGUUUUGCCUCUGCUUCAGUUUAUAAUUCUUUCUCUUCCCAUGACCUUGAAAUGCCCUUAAUUUUCAGGGGGCUAUACCCUCAAGUACCUGGCACAUAUUUCUUGGGGCCAGGGAAACCUGCUAUUCUCUGAGGCUAAGGUGCCACAGAACAUUCUGCCAGCUACCUUCUUGUCCAUCCCAGAGAUCUUCUCUACUGCUCUGCCACCCUGUUGGCAAGGGAGCUCCCCAUGGCUGAGAAUUGGAAGCAGAGACUCACCUCUGUUCUCAGACCCCCAGCCUUUCCUGGAAACUCUGUGGCUGUUCCCCAUGUCAUCCUUAGAACCACUGGAAGUUGAGCAGGGUCCCUUCUCAGAUCUCCUACCACCAGCUCUCAUUCCCUGCCU